rnacentral:rRNA from 1 species
GAUGAACGCUGGCUACAGGCUUAACACAUGCAAGUCAAGGGGAAACGACGGGGAAGCUUGCUUCCUUGGGCGUCGACCGGCGCACGGGUGAGUAACGCGUAUCCAACCUGCCUCUGACUGAGGGAUAACCCGUCGAAAGUCGGCCUAAUACCUCAUGGCAUCGUCUGCGGGCAUCCAACGACGAUUAAAGAUUUCAUCGGUCAGGGAUGGGGAUGCGUCUGAUUAGCUUGUUGGCGGGGUAACGGCCCACCAAGGCUACGAUCAGUAGGGGUUCUGAGAGGAAGGUCCCCCACAUUGGAACUGAGACACGGUCCAAACUCCUACGGGAGGCAGCAGUGAGGAAUAUUGGUCAAUGGGCGAGAGCCUGAACCAGCCAAGUAGCGUGCAGGAUGACGGCCCUAUGGGUUGUAAACUGCUUUUAUGCGGGGAUAAAGUGAGGGACGUGUCCUUCAUUGCAGGUACCGCAUGAAUAAGGACCGGCUAAUUCCGUGCCAGCAGCCGCGGUAAUACGGAAGGUCCUGGCGUUAUCCGGAUUUAUUGGGUUUAAAGGGAGCGUAGGCCGUGGAUUAAGCGUGUUGUGAAAUGCAGGUGCUCAACGUCUGCACUGCAGCGCGAACUGGUCCACUUGAGUGUGCGCAACGCAGGCGGAAUUCGUCGUGUAGCGGUGAAAUGCUUAGAUAUGACGAAGAACUCCGAUUGCGAAGGCAGCCUGCGGGAGCACAACUGACGCUGAAGCUCGAAAGUGCGGGUAUCGAACAGG